rnacentral:rRNA from 1 species
AUGCAUCGAUAUGCAUCUGUUUACAUGGUAUUCAUUGUUUCUUCCCCCCUCUUCUCUCCGGUAGACUACGAGACCGACGCUGCUGCUGCCCAGUUCGACUACGGAGUUGACGACCCCUCUCUCUUGCCAGAGCAACCAGAUGCUGGAGUCCAGGAGCCAGACGCCAUCAUCGACGAUGACCCCUACUACACUGGAGGUGCCUACUACUACGUGCUGCCCGCUGGCGACGCCUGGAGUAGUUUAGGAGGAUCCCAGGCAGGAGGCCUGCGCCUCUUUCGAUCUGUAUCCCAGUUUGUGCUAGCCUUCUUAAGGCAAACUUGUUUAACUUAUGUCUGUAAUCAGAUAUUGUUGCUUUCGCUGACUCGUCUAUGA